rnacentral:rRNA from 1 species
GUGGGGAAUAUUGGACAAUGGGCGAAAGCCUGAUCCAGCCAUGCCGCGUGUGUGAAGAAGGUCUUCGGAUUGUAAAGCACUUUAAGUUGGGAGGAAGGGCAGUAAGUUAAUACCUUGCUGUUUUGACGUUACCGACAGAAUAAGCACCGGCUAACUUCGUGCCAGCAGCCGCGGUAAUACGAAGGGUGCAAGCGUUAAUCGGAAUUACUGGGCGUAAAGCGUGCGCAGGCGGUGCUGUAAGACAGGCGUGAAAUCCCCGGGCUCAACCUGGGAACUGCCUCCAAAACUGCAUGACUAGAGUACGGUAGAGGGUAGUGGAAUUUCCUGUGUAGCGGUGAAAUGCGUAGAUAUAGGAAGGAACACCAGUGGCGAAGGCGACUACCUGGACUGAUACUGACACUGAGGUGCGAAAGCGUGGGGAGCAAACAGGAUUAGAAACCCGUGUAGUCC